UCAGCUGGUUUCUCCUGCUGAUUUAAACCUUGUUGUAGAGAUGGAACUUUGGCUGUGGAUUAUUCUCGCUGCUCUUUUCUUUGAGUGUAAAGGAGAAGACAGAGUGAUCCAGCCAACAGGAGAUGUCAUUGCUACUGAAGGAGAGACAGUUACACUCGGUUGUAAAUUUGAGACCAGUGACACGGGACCCACUCUGUUCUGGUACAAACAAGAAGUAAAUGACUUCCCAAAGUUCAUGUUGAAAUGUUUCUCAAAAACAGUAAAAAAUGCUGAAGAGUUCCCAAAAGACAGAUUUAAUGCUGAACUCAACAAGACAUCAGUUCCUCUGAAGAUCCAGAAGCUUCAGGUGACUGACUCUGCUGUGUACUACUGUGCUUUGAGGCCCACAGACUAA